rnacentral:rRNA from 1 species
GGUUACUGCUAUCGGUGUUCGCCUAAGCCAUGCGAGUCAUAUGUUCGUAAGAACAUGGCGUACUGCUCAGUAACACGUGGAUAACCUGCCCUUGGGUCCGGCAUAACCCCGGGAAACUGGGGAUAAUUCCGGAUAACGCACAUAUGCUGGAAUGCUUUUUGCGUAAAAUGGAUUCGUCUGCCCAAGGAUGGGUCUGCGGCCUAUCAGGUAGUAGUGGGUGUAAUGUACCUACUAGCCUACGACGGGUACGGGUUGUGAGAGCAAGAGCCCGGAGAUGGAUUCUGAGACAUGAAUCCAGGCCCUACGGGGCGCAGCAGGCGCGAAAACUUUACAAUGCGGGAAACCGUGAUAAGGGGACACCGAGUGCCAGCAUCCUAUGCUGGCUGUCCGGGUGUGUAAAAUACACCUGUUAGCAAGGGCCGGGCAAGACCGGUGCCAGCCGCCGCGGUAACACCGGCGGCCCGAGUGGUGAUCGUGAUUAUUGGGUCUAAAGGGUCCGUAGCCGGUUUGGUCAGUCCUCCGGGAAAUCUGACAGCUCAACUGUUAGGCUAUCGGAGGAUACUGCCAGACUUGGAACCGGGAGAGGUAAGAGGUACUACAGGGGUAGGAGUGAAAUCUUGUAAUCCCUGUGGGACCACCUGGGGCGAAGGCGUCUUACCAGAACGGGUUCGACGGUGAGGGACGAAAGCUGGGGGCACGAACCGGAUUAGAUACCCGGGUAGUCCCAGCCGUAAACGAUGCUCGCUAGGUGUCAGGCAUGGCGCGACCGUGUCUGGUGCCGCAGGGAAGCCGUGAAGCGAGCCACCUGGGAAGUACGGCCGCAAGGCUGAAACUUAA